GACGAACGCUGGCGGCGUGCUUAACACAUGCAAGUCGAACGAAGUGGCGAACGGGUGAGUAACGCGUAAUAAACCUGCCCUUCAGAGGGGGACAACAGUUGGAAACUACUGCUAAUACCGCAUACUGAGGGAGAGUAUUGCGUCGGAUUAGCUAUUUGGAGGGGUAACGUCCCACCAAGGCGAGGAUCAGUAGCCGGUCUGAGAGGAUGAACGGCCACAUUGGGACUGAGACACGGCCCAGACUCCUACGGGAGGCAGCAGUGGGGAAUCUUCCGGAAUGGACGAAAGUCUGACGGAGCAACGCCGCGUGAGUGAUGACGGCCUUCGGGUUGUAAAGCUCUGUUAAUCGGGACGCGGUACCGGAAUAGAAAGCCACGGCUAACUACGUGCCAGCCGCCGCGGUAAUAC
rnacentral:rRNA from 1 species